UCCCCUUUCUCUCUACGGAAUACUUUACUUCAACCAAACCUUAAUUCCUCCCCCCCCCCCCCCCUCUCUCUCUCUCUCUCUCUGCGAAUCUCCAAUAUCUUGAAUCUAAGGUAUGAAUUAGAAUUGAUUUUAAAUUUUUAUUGUCUUUCAUAUUCUUUCUAACUUAAGGGUUUUAAUCUCUGCGCACUAUUAAGUAUUAACAACAAUCACUAAUCACUGUUGAAGAUUGUGAUUUUUUUUAAUUAAUAACAACAAAUUCUAUGGACUAUAUUUACUUCAUUCUCCUUAAACCUUAAUCCUGUUUGAUUUCCAUUAUGGAAAAUUCAAAUUAGUUUAACAAAAAAAAUUGAAUUUUCGGGAUUAUUAUUUUUUAAAACAUGGCUACCAUUAAAAUAGCAAAUACUUACUGAUGCAUCAUUGUAUUUAGUAUUGGUUAUUGACUAUUGAGAAUACCAACAAUGUAAGUACUGGCUUUCGACUUACAAUUACUCCUGUAAUGAGUUCUUUUCUUCUUAUUUCCCUACCCAAUAUAUAGUUGUAUUAUCAUAUUCCUAUAAAUCACAACUGAAAUUUAUGUUACCUUUUUUGAUUUUGUUCUACAGGCAUGCCUCCUAUUUGAAGAAAUGCUAAGACUGUUAGGGAUGUUGAUGAAGGAUUAACACGAGGUACAUUUUAUCUAUUUUAAAUUUGUCUUUACAUGUGGAGAUGUAUGCACUUUUACUAAGGCACCAUCUAUUACUACUUGUAGUUUCGUUUGGUUUCAAGUCAAUGGAUGAUUACUACUCCAGCUCAUGCAGCUAAAAUUCUGAAAAAAAUACGUCCACAGACCAUUUCUAUGUAUCUAGGUAAUACAUCUUUGUCUCUCAUUCAGUUUCAAUGCAAAUGAUUUCAGAAUGGCACUAAGCUUAAUAAUUAAACACCCAUUUUCAGGAAAAACCUUGUAUUUUGUUUGCGUUAUGUUUAUUGUUAAAAUAUUACAAGUUCGUGAGAGAAAAAAACUAAUAAAUUCAAGCACCUUAACUUUGUGGAACAAAAUAUUGAGAGAUGUGAAAAGCUAGGAAACAAUUGAAGGAGAUUGUUAGGUGAGGGCAUGGUUUAUAAAGUGAAAAUGAUGUUGAUGUUGGAAUGCAACCAGCAGAUAUGAGGAACAAGGUAAUACCAAAGAGCAAUUGGUAUAAUUUGAUUUUAUUACAAAAGGAUAAGAGGGACUUUUUAUUACAAGAAAAGCUAUUUGUUUUCCCUUGAAUAACUCAACUGAUUUCCUCCCUAUAAUUAUAGGUGAUUAUAACCGACUUCUCAGAUAAACACGAAUUGGACAGACAUAUAACUAAAAUUUUGUCAUGGUACAUGUUUUCUGUUAUAACACCUAAUCCUUUAGCUAGAACACCAAGGAUUACCAUGUCAGAGUUCCUACAAAUUAACCAGUCCUAUUCUGCCUUGUCCAGGAUUACCUAAUGCACAAUCUUCAGUGUUAAUUUUGACAGUAGUACAGAUCAGGUAGUAAUCAGAUGCCAACAACCCCGCUACACUAAUAUUCUUGAGUGUUUCUACUCUGAUAUGCUGACAGUUGGGUGGAAGCCCUUCAAAGUGCACUUUGUUCCUAGCCUUCCAAAUUUGCACCAUGAGAGAGUUCACUGCUGCAUUCCACAAUUGCCUUACCAGUUUGCUUCUCUGUUUCGCUACUUUGAUCAAAUUUCUAAGAUCAUAGUGAAAUGUUUGUAAUCUAAACACAUCACAAAGCCAGUAAGUUGCUUCGUUGCCUUCGCGGCCAAAUCUAACCUAGCAAGGAGAAACUAAGAAAACAGUUUUAUGUCAAGAUUGAUGUUUGAAAAAGGCAAAUUGAGCUGAUUGUGUGUAGUUUUCUCACAAGAUUGAAGUAAGUUGCUUCGUUGCCUUCACUUGGACAACAAUGUUGAAGCUUGCAUCGUGUACAUUUGAUCCACAUUUACACCAGUUGUAAACAUCCCUCCAGUCUCUUCAAUAUAGGUUCUUAAUCAUCUACCAAUGUGUUAACGUCAUGUACAUGUUAGAUUAGUUCUCUCAAUAAUUAUAAAGAGGAUACAAUAUUAAAAAAUAUGUUAAGACCAAUACUUCCAUGCAAGUUAUCAGUAUUUCUAUUUCUAUUGCGACUGAAUACAAAAUAUUAGUCUGACAUUAGUCUAACAAGAACAGGGAAUAAGUAAAGAUAUUGACUAUUGCCAUAAAUGUAACCUAAAUUUUGUCAUGAUUGUAGUGGCUUGAAAAUAUAGAUUUCAUUGUAACCUUUAUGUUAUAUCAACAUUUCCCAAUCCAUUAGUAGUUCCGUGAAGUGGUGUUCUCCUUCAUGUCGUCAGUUGCAAACCAUUGUUUUAUGUCCAAACCCAAAACUAUGGUUAUUGGGGAAAAAACCAUUACUAUGCUCAAUCAUGGUCUAUGAUUUUUUUAUUUUGGAUAAACCUGAUAGUUAUAUUAAUAUAGGAAAAACAUUUUACAAUCCUGAGCAGCAUACCUAUGAAGGCAUCAUCAGGUAAUAAUACUGAACAAAAAAGUAUCCAACCCUUAACCCUUUGAUUCACAUUAACCUAUACCUUAAAUCAACAUUUCCAAAUCCAUUAGUAUUUUCCUGAAGUGGCGUUCUUCUUGCUGUCCGUCAGUUGCAAGCCAAUGCCAGAAAUAUGCCUUGUUUCCUUUGUAACCUGAGCUACUGUUUUGCUUGUACCUCUGAACCGAUGGUUUCAGUCUUUCAGACACUCCAAAGCACAGUAUAGGGAACAAUUUUAUAGACCUUUGCCACAAACCCCACUCUUUGCACCCUUGCCAUGCAUUGAGAAAAGUUUCAACAAAGUUUCUCAACUAGAUACCAUUACCACUCAGAGGGGGGAGAAUCUCUGCCCAAAUAAUUCCCGCAAAAUCACAAUGGAGAAAAGGAUGUCCCAUUGCCUCUACGUUACCAUUACAUAAAGAGCAAGAUUGAUAUUUUAUCAGACAUUCUAGGUAUAGACCACACAUUUUUUAUUUUAUUUUUGCAUUUGAUAAGCUAUUGAUUAGUUAUUACUUAGACAGAAUACUAAAGACUUUUUGAAACAAAACAGUUUGUGUUGUCCCUGUCUGCAUCCAUUCUCACUUUAUGGUGUUAACUUGAAACUGCCUUUCCAAUUAAUUAGUUACGAUGAAACUUCUAGCUAUUCAUGCACGCAUAGCAUUCACUAUUAUAUCAAUUGACCAUUAUACAUGAUAUUUCUGUUAAUUUUUUGGGUUUUGUAACUGAUUGUUUUUUCACGUUCAUCUUGAUGAAACUACUAUGCAUGUGCAUUUAUUCAGUAAAUUACAUCUCUACUCGCAUCGAUCAUAAAUUACAUCUCUAGCUCGUUCUAAAAGUUUAAUUACUUAAUAUGACCUCUUGAUUGUUAGUAUCACGGAAUAGUUCUCUCCAAUAGAAUUAUUGAGAGAAUUUUUAUUCUCUAUUGGUCUUUUAAAACAUUAGUAAAACUUUUUGAAACUUGGAUUACAAAUUUUACAUGUAGAAUUUGCGCCUAAGAACUUAUUUUCAUUGUAGGGAGUUAUGGAGCGCGUUUGUGCUCUUCCUCACGAUGUUGUUCACCAGGUGGUUGAGCUAGCUCUCAGCUUCU
rnacentral:lncRNA from 1 species